rfam:Clostridium colicanis DSM 13634 CLCO_contig000023, whole genome shotgun sequence.
UAAGUAUUCCGCCUGGGGAGUACGGUCGCAAGAUUAAAACUCAAAGGAAUUGACGGGGACCCGCACAAGCAGCGGAGCAUGUGGUUUAAUUCGAAGCAACGCGAAGAACCUUACCUAGACUUGACAUCUCCUGAAUUACUCGUAAUGGAGGAAGCCCUUCGGGGCAGGAAGACAGGUGGUGCAUGGUUGUCGUCAGCUCGUGUCGUGAGAUGUUGGGUUAAGUCCCGCAACGAGCGCAACCCUUAUCGUUAGUUGCUACCAUUAAGUUGAGCACUCUAACGAGACUGCCGCGGUUAACGUGGAGGAAGGUGGGGAUGACGUCAAAUCAUCAUGCCCCUUAUGUCUAGGGCUACACACGUGCUACAAUGGCCGGUACAACGAGAUGCAAACCCGUGAGGGGGAGCCAAACUUCAAAGCCGGUCCCAGUUCGGAUUGUAGGCUGAAACUCGCCUACAUGAAGUCGGAGUUGCUAGUAAUCGCGAAUCAGCAUGUCGCGGUGAAUACGUUCCCGGGUCUUGUACACACCGCCCGUCACACCAUGAGAGCCGGUAACACCCGAAGUCCGUGAGGUAACCUUUAUGGAGCCAGCGGCCGAAGGUGGGAUUGGUGAUUGGGGUGAAGUCGUAACAAGGUAGCCGUAGGAGAACCUGCGGCUGGAUCACCUCCUUU